rnacentral:rRNA from 1 species
GAUGAACGCUGGCGGCGUGCCUAAUACAUGCAAGUCGAGCGAACGGACGAGAAGCUUGCUUCUCUGUUGUUAGCGGCGGACGGGUGAGUAACACGUGGAUAACCCACCUAUAAGACUGGGAUAACUUCGGGAAACCGUAGCUAGUACCGGAUAAUAUUUUGAACCGCUUGGUUCAAAAGCGAUAGACGGUCUUGCUGUCACUUAUAGACGGAUCCGCGCUGCAUUAGCUAGUUGGUAAGGUAACGGCUUACCAAGGCAACGAUGCAUAGCCGACCUGAGAGGGUGAUCGGCCACACUGGAACUGAGACACGGUCCAGACUCCUACGGGAGGCAGCAGUAGGGAAUCUUCCGCAAUGGGCGAAAGCCUGACGGAGCAACGCCGCGUGAGUGAUGAAGGUCUUCGGAUCGUAAAACUCUGUUAUUAGGGAAGAACAUAUGUGUAAGUAACUGUGCACAUCUUGACGGUACCUAAUCAGAAAGCCACGGCUAACUACGUG